CGCAGCUCGCUUGCACAGCACAGCACCAAAUUGGUAAAUAACCUAUCGUCGUGCUGUUUACUGUUUGCAAUCGGCUGCCAGAAAAACGACGGAUUCCAAGAACUUUGCGACUGAUUAUUGUCGCUGCGUUCAUUUCACCCCGACGACAUUG
ensembl:snoRNA snoRNA:Psi18S-996 snoRNA:Psi18S-996